rnacentral:rRNA from 1 species
GGUGGGUUGGCUUGUCAGGUUGAUUCCGGUAACGAACGAGACCUCAGCCUGCUAAAUAGUAGCUUCCGGUUCGCCGGGAGGCAGACUUCUUAGAGGGACUAUUAGCGACUAUCAGCUAAUUGAAGUAUGAGGCAAUAACAGGUCUGUGAUGCCCUUAGAUGUUCUGGGCCGCACGCGCGCUACACUGACGCAAUCAACGAGCCUCCUGGUCUCGAGAGGACCGGGUAAUCUUGUAAACUGCGUCGUGAUGGGGCUAGAGCUUUGUAAUUAUUGCUCUUCAACGAGGAAUGCCUAGUAAGCGCGAGUCAUCAACUCGCGU